GAGGAUCUUACGUUCUUAAUGAAUCAUUGAGGUGUUUUCCAAAUCAUUUAUUUAAAAGGAUUUCAGUUAUCUUGAGUAUAUUCAUUUAUCCUAAUUAUCUUUUCGGAUUACAUUUUCUUUGCAUCUUCUGGAGUUAAUUCUACAUUAUAAUUUUCCGUCACAUUACCAAUAAGCAGUUUAUUCGCAUGAUGAAGGCUUGUAACAAGAGGAUGUUACUGCUUGUUUUUAUUUUGUUACUGGUGGCAUUCCUGAUGAUUGUUAUUGCAUUUUCAACUCCAUAUUUUAUCGAAAUAAACAAUGAAACAUGCUAUUCUGGAAGUAACUGCAUCAUAUAUAGAACUGAUCAUGCUGGUUUAUGGAAGUACUGCAAAACUUUAUCUGGCAGCACGACAUGCAUAAACACAGAAAUCGAAAUAGACUUACCAUAUGUGAAGGUAUGUCAAGGGAUGUCAAUAAUGGGUUUAAUCUACGGCAUAGUUGGUAUGGUAUCCACAUGUUUGAGGCUGUUCUGUUUCCAGGAGAAAAAAAUAUGGCUAAUUAUUGCUAUCAUAACAACAUUUGCUUUUGCUAUUUUCAUUCUUGUACCAAUUGGACUGUUCCUAAUCUAUGCCAGUGUGUUUGUUGAUCUUGGAAGCAGGUCCAAAGUAGGCUACUCAUUCAUUUUAUGUGUAACAGGAGAAAUCAAUGCUGUAAUUUCUAGUAUCGUUAUGAUUACAGACUGCAAGAAGAAAUAGUCGGCAUUUGGAUAACUAAUGGAACGGACACACUACGCGGAGAAGUGCAAUUAAAGGGAGCAAACAGUUACACUUUGUUAAUCAUAACUGCUUAAUAAACUGUCUUUACAUCUAGGAUAAACUGAAUGUAUGCAUUUUGGACCUCCAAAAAAAGAUUAGACAAAAUAUUAAUUUUCAGGUCAAAUGUAAUGAUCACCUUAUCAAAUCGACAAAUUGUGUCAAAAUAUUUAGGAGUUCACAUUGAUAUUUUUUUAAAUUGUGAACAAAUAGUUUCCAAUGUCAUAAAAAAAGUUAAUGCAAGAUUAAGUUCUUAUAUAGAAAUGCCAAAUGUUUGGAUACUAGAUCAAGGAUGACUCUCACAUCUGCUCUGAUACAAUGCUAUUUCGAUUAUUCUUGCUCUUCGUGGUAUAGUAGUUUGGGCAAAGGGAUGACAAAAAGAUUGCAAGUUGUACAGAAUAAGGUGGUGAGAUUCAUCCUAGGUCUAGGUCCAAGGACUAGAAUUACAUAUGAUAUUUUAGAUAAAGUUGAUAUGCUAUAUGUAAAAGAUAGAGUUAGUCAACUUAGAUUAAACCAAGUAUUCAAUAUAUGUUAUGGACAUGCUCCAGAGUAUUUAUGUAAACAUUUUGACUUGAAUAAUCAUAAUACCAGAAGUGCUGCACAUGAUAAUUAUUUUGUACCAAAUGUUAAAAACUGUAAUAAAAACAGCUUUGUUUAUAAUACUAUACAAGACUGGGACAAUCUACCAGCCAACAUAAAAAAUAUAUCAAAUAGAUCUGCUUUAAAGACUGCAGUUAAAGAACAAUUGAAAAUAACAGCAAGAAACAUAGAAAAUGGAGAUGUUUUAUAUGUUUUUUUAAGAAACAAUUUUUUUUUUUAUUUUGGUGAAAGUCAAAUUCUAACAUAUGAUUUGAAAUAUUAUUUUUAUAUAUUUUCAAACAAGGGACCCCAUUGGAAAUAAGCUAUACUAUGUUAGUUUUUAUGGGAUAUCCCAGGCUUCUUUACGAUACUAUUUUAAAAGUAUUUAUAUAUAUAUAUAUAUAUAUUAUUAAUACUGUUUUGUCUUGUGAAUUUUUAUAAAUAUGCUUGAAUUUGCCGGAAUAAAACUAUACUAUACUA